rnacentral:tRNA from 1 species
CAAGACCUGCAGGCUACGCCCUACAUCACCUGAAUGCAACUCAGACAUUUUACUUAAACUAAGGCCUA